AAACCCCAGCUCCCCUCCUGACUCACUCUCAAGUGCUCUCUCAGGGAAACAAGGUAAGAACAGGUCCUAAAUCCCCACCCAAAUCCACAGGGCCAGAUGUCUUUUAGAAUCCAGAGUCUCUUAGAUUUCAGAAAAGCCACUGGGGGCACAAACCAACCACGACAGAACAGCCCAGCACAGCCUGGGUGCACCCAGUAGCCCAGGGUCAGUAUUCUCCAUGGCGAAAUGUGUGCACAUUCACUGCACGUGAUCAGUAAAGACCACAACAGCCUCGUGUCAGUUCAGGCCAGGCUGUGCUGCCAGACUUAGGACACGGGUUUCAGUCUGGCAGGUUCGGGAGUCAGGGAGGGUCACUGGGAGGCCGAGAGGCCAUCGCGUGCUGUCAGCGAGCCCUGCUCCUGGGCUGCUCCUGCAAUCACACUGGCCUCCUGGGCGCAGUGGCACGGUAACAAGCACGGUGGCAAUUGCAGCUGCAGGUGUGUUAGCGUCUGCUGGCAGUGACCCUGCAGCCACCUCCCAGAUGGCAUGGCCUAACAGGGCGCAGGGCAGUGGAGUUUGGAGAGGCUUUAUUGGCACCCAGGGUCCAACUACCCCUGGAUGUCACCCUGUCCUUCCUGGACUCAGAGUCCUGCUGACAAAGUCCAUAUGAGCCAAACGCUGUAAUGCAGUCUCCCUCCUGGAAGACAAGGGGGACAGGACACCCCUUUUUCUCACCCUUGCCACAGCAGAGAGCCCCCUGGGAACCAAGGCCCUGGAAAGCUGGGGCAGGCAGCCCUCCCCUGGCAGCAGUGUCCUCCAGGCCAGACCUCAGGACAUGUGGGGCAGGAGACAGCGUCCUGAUUCAGCAGGGCAGACCCACCGACCAAGCCUGAGAGUCUCCACAAAAGGGACACUCAAUUCAAGGGGGUCAUUACAGACCGAGCCACCCAGCUGAUCAGCGCCCAUUCCAGCACAGAGCCUGUUUGCACACCCUUCAGUGAGGCACGGGGGCUCCUGCUUCUGAAUGAAGGCUUCAGUCCUGUCCCCCUCGGAGCCUGGCCUCAGAACUGGGGCACGUGCCGAGCAGGGGGGCACAGGCGGGCACACAUAUUAAAUUCCUCUCGGUUUGCACAACUGAGCUCUUGUUUCUCUUCUGAACAGUGUAUCUUAGGAAGGGGCCCCAAACAAAGUAGGCUUGCUAAAGCACACACUCUCUUUAAGGGGCCUUUGGUUUCAGCUCCACACUGCUAAUUCUGGGUCCACCCAGGGGCCAAAGUCUCCGAGGCUCCUGCCUGGUUUAUGGAGGGGUAUCACUCAGGAAGUUUAAGGUUCUCCUCAGAAAGAACAGUCGCUCUGAGAUUUGGGGGUGGCCCACAAGACCAUUUGCAAGUUCGAGGGGGUUCCUAAAAUCACCCUCAGAAGGCCUCACAAACUCACUGGGAGCUGGUAAACUCACAGUUGUAGUUUAAUACAGCAAAGGAUGCAAAUUCACAUCGGCCAGGGCAGGAGGCCCACGGGCUGAGCCCAGGUGUGGCCAUGCCAGUGUGUUCCUGUUGACUGUCAGCCCAUGGAACUGUGGACACUUCCAGAGGUCAUCAAGAACAGCGGCCACAUCCAGAGGUGUUGUCUGUGCCAGCCUCGCCCUGCAUCCCACCGCAUCCCACCCAGCCUCGAGCGGCCACCCUGCCGGCCAGGAAGCCCAGGUAACACAGCAACGGGAGGAGGCUGGGGACCGCCGGAAGCUCUCUUGGCAUGUGGCACUGACAUUCUAUGGCACACAGGCAAUCUCCAGAGCCAGUCGAGACUCAGAGAGCAGCUUCCACAUGGAUCCCAAGGUCAAACAUUUACUGGACCAAGGCCCAGUGCAGCCAGGGCUGAUUCCCAGAAAGACCACAGGAGUAACUUGCUCCUGAAGCAAAGCCAAGUUUGCUCCUUGCCUCUACUUCCUGCUACUUCCCACGUCCUGCUGCCCGCUGCCUGGACGGGACCUUCUUCAGGUCUCAGGAAGGGGACUUGAGGGACAUGGCCCUACUGUGUGUGGGGUCUGGUUUUGCCCCUCUAAGGCAGGCCUCACACUGCAAGGAUGGCAAGCUGUUUAGCUUUGUUUACCCUCAUAAUUUUCUUUAACCGUGGUACCUGCACAUACCCGAAAAUGGACCCUCUUAACCAUUUUCAGUUGUGCAGGUCGGUGGUAUUAAGCUCAUCACAUUGUGGUGCAGCCACCCCCCCACCCAUCCCCAGACCUCCUUCAUCGUCCCCAGCUGAAACUCUGUCCCCAGUGAGCGCUGACUCCUCACCCCUCUCCAGCCCCCGGCAUCCACCACCUGCUUUCUGUCUCUGUGAACCUGACUCCCCCAGGGACCUGGGACAGCGGGGAUCAUACAGGACAUGUCCUUGUGUGACCGGCGUACCUCACUCAGCAUGAUGUCCUCAAGGGUCACCCACGUGGUAGCCUGCAUCAGGAUCGCCUUCCUUUCUAAGGCUGGAUAAUCUCGCGUUGUGUGGAUGUCCCACUUUUGUUUACGGGUGACCAUCCAUCCCCCAGUGGACCCUUGGGUGGCCCCCCACCUAUUGGCUAUUGUGACUCAUGCCGCCAUGAACACGGGUGCGCAAGUACCUCUCUGAUUCGCGGCUCCAUUCUUUGGGGAGGAUACCCAGGCGAGGAACCGCUGGAUCAAAUGGUGGAUGGGGCAGAUGCCACCUCUGGCCAAGCUCCAGGAGGGCCACCUUCCGCCCUGUCAGUUACCCUGAGAUGCCCAUCACCCAGUCCACGUGACCCUGGCCAGCCAGCACAGGGAGGGCUGGGGGUCAGGGCUAGAGGUUGGAACCAUGGCCCAAGGAUCCAGCCUCUAGGGACACACAAGUCAACCAAGAAUUACAGUGUGGUGACGAGCGUGAAACCAGAAGCUUUGUGAGCAGGAGGACAUGCGCCCGCCUGGGACUCCGGGGGGAUCAAAGGACACUGUGCGUGUGCCUCCCAGGCAGAGGUGCAACAGCUGCUUUCUGAGUGACCCGAAGGCGUCCCUUCCCCCAGCUGGGCCCUGUUCCUCCUUUAGCCCUUCAGAGUGGGAGGUGGUGGCCUUCGCCUUGCCCAGGUGUGUCUGCUUUGUCUGGAACCAGGCAGGGGGCAGGAGCCUGCCCCAGGGGCGGGGCUGGGAAGGCAUGUGUGGUGGGGUCUGCAAAGCAAGGCAGGAGGCGCCUCUCUCGGCUGGCAGGCCUGGGACGCAGGAGGCCCAGGCAGAGAGAGGGGAGGUGGGCACCCAGGGGGCCUUGGACAGAGGCCGAGGGCAGGUGGCUGGGGGAGGCACUUUAGAGCACCCAGCACCUCGCCCUGCUCCACCUGUGCUGUUGCCCCAGUUCCGGGGGCUCAGAAGCCCUCCACAGUCUGCAGCAGGUCCCCCGCCCUGUCCCUCCUCCGCCCUGCUCCUCUGGCCCCACCCCACAACACACCCAUUCUGACUAGGGUCUUCCUCUCCUGCUUGUCCUCUGUCCCUGUCCCCUCUCCUCUGCUGCCUGCGUCCAGACUCUGGUCACCGUGAGCUCCAGGACCUGCUCUGCCCUGGGGUUUGGGGAUGAACUUUCCAUCUGCCAGUUUGACCAGCCCCCACCCAGUUUCAAAGCUGUCACUGUGCCCCCUUCCCUUGCAGCACCAGAGCGAGUUUGUGUCUCCCAUGAACCUCUGCCAGCCACAGCCGGCUCCUCAGCCUCACUACCCUGCACUGCCCUGGCCCCCAGCCCCACAGUGCCACACUGCCACACCUCCGUGCCUUUGCACAUGCUGCUGCUCAGCAGGCCCUCCCUCUGCCGCCACCACCACUCUCCUUGCUCCGUCGCGUCAGGCGGCCACAGCCCCUCUGCCCCUUCUUCCCUGGUGAGAAAGGCAGUGCUAGGGGGACUGCUUGUUUCUUGAUUGUCCCUCUCCAGACCACAGGUGCCUUCAGGGCUGCGACACCCACUGUCUCCCCACUGCACCGUGUUCUCAGUCCCUAUGUCGGGAGCUGGCACCAAGUAGCUACUCAGUCAAUAUUAAAUGAAGGAAUUAAUGAAUGAGGCCCUAAUGAAAAGCUAAAAAUGGACUGCCCCUCCCAAGGCCUGACCCACUUUCUGAGCCUCACAGCUGCUCAGGGAAGCAGCACUGAUUCUUGUGACGUGCAGUGCUGUCACACCAACGAGCCUCUGACUGCACCAGGCUCUUGCCCCGGCAGAACAGGACCUCUGGACAGGGCAGGGGCCCCUGGCAGGACAGGCUGGCCCAGGCUGCUGGGCCCACGAGGACAGGAGGGAGGGUCCAGAUCUCCGAGGGCCCUAGAGGCAGGCUGAGGGAGGCCCCCAGGGCUUCGGGGUCAGGCUGCCCUCCUGGGCACCAAGCCCCUCAUGUCCCAUGACUGAGAACUGGGGUUCCCUGACCCUGUUGAGCCUCAGUUUCCUCACCUGCAAAAUGGAGUGGCAUUGCUCAUGAGCAUGAGCCGGCAUGGGGGCCGGCACACUUUUUCUACAAAGUGCUGGGUAGUAAAUAUUUUAAGCGCUGGGGGCCAAAACUGUCUCUGUUGCAAACACCCAUGCGGCUCCGGCGUGGAGGCAGCGCAGACGAGAUGUAAAUGAACGCGCGUGGCUGUGCUCCAGCAAAACUCUAUUUAUGGACCCUAGGUUUUGAAUUUCAUAUAACUUCACAUGUCAUGAGAUGGUUUUUUAUUUUUUCCCCAACCACUUAAAACCAUAAAAAGAAAGCUUAGUUUGCAAGAUGCACAAAAGCAGGCGGCCAGCCGGUUCAGUUCACUGGCCAUGGUUGGCUGUCCCUGAAUGACAUCGCAUCACUGUACGUUCUUGGCCUUCUGCCCUACAGGGAGACACUUGGAUAUUUGAUAUUAAAAUAAUUGCCUUCUUUAGGUGUUUACUCAACAUAGAAUAUUUGUUAAGCAGCUAUUAAAUUUCAAGGCCAUCUAUAGAUGGAGCUAGUUGCUGGAAUGAUGGAAUGAGCUCCCCAUGCCUAGGGGUGUGCAAGCAGAGUGGAACGACAGGACAGGGAAGCUGUACAGAGAAUUCAGCUGUCAGGGAGGGAGUGUGAGGAAGUGCAUCUAGCCUUCUUUUGGUCAGAUAAUGGAUGAAGUGCAGGCCUACAGCUUCAGUUGAACCUGGGGAACUGGGCCCCAUCUCCCUCCCUGGCCCCACCACUGGCACAGGGAACAAUAAUCAGGGGUAGAAUAAAAGCCGAUACCCAUGUGCCCAGCAGCACAUGAUGCUAGGGCUCUGGGAGGCACCCACCCAGUUGUUACUGUCUGUUUGGGUCCCCAACGCCAGCCCUGAGACAAGGAUUUGGGUAAGAGUGAGAAGGUGAUUCCAGAAAGCAUAUGAGGAAGUGGGGGUGUGAGUUGGGGUGGGUGGCAGGUUUACAAAGGAUGUGUUAAUGAGCAAGUACCAUUGUGGCCACCUGGGGCUCAGCCUCUCAAGAACCCUCAGAGGGAGGGUAGGGGGCACACCUGGGCUGUCCCAUAGCCAGAGGAUGAAGCUGGGUACUUAUCCUCCACGCCUGCCCCUUGGUGGUUGAGGGUUUGCUCCUGGGCUGUUGCCUCGGGCCCAGCUCGCCUACCUGGUGCCCCAAGGUCAAGGCACACUCCUGUGGCCAGAACCCCUGCACCCCAUUCAGAAGCUGACUGAGUGUCCAGACAUUGCCUACAGGCUCCAGUACCUUCAGGGCAGGCCAAGGGCAUGACCAGGAACAGGCCGAGGACCUAACUCACACCGGCUCUCGCUCCAGACUUGCAUGGGGCCCCUGCUGUAAACACAAAACCAGACCUAGGCACCCCACCUCCCCAUUCCAUGUCUCUGAGUCACGUGGCUGCAGCUGCAAGCCUUUCCCAACUGGGAGUUGACCUCCUCACUGCAACACGUCGGGGUUGUCACGGGGACUCAAUGAGAUGACCUGUGUGAGCGCAGCAGACAGGUCCUACACAUCGUAGGCACUCAGUAACGACUGCCUCAUCACGCUGCAACCUUGGUGGCCCAUGUCUCUGGCCAACUGAGCCUUGAUUUUUCGCAAUUGACCCCAAUCCUGCUGUAAGAGUGGCCACAGUUGGCUUAAGCCAAUGAGCAUGUCUCACCUCUGGCUAUUGUGAUUGAUCAGGGAUGGGCAUGUGACAUAAUUCUAGCCAAUAACACAGGAAGUUUUAGGAUAUGGUUGGUGCUCCUAAAAAUGACUCUCUGCCCCAUGAUGGUGUGAUGGGGAGAUUUAAGUGUGUGAGUUUGUGCUGAGGUGGACAUUUUGCUACCAAGAGAAGAUCAGCAAGGGUUGCUGGGGGCACCAAGGAUGAAACCAGGUAGAGAGACAAAGUACAGCUGUGUUUAUAGUAAUCGUGUUUUGAACUGCUGCAUCAAGCCUUACCUGAAGCCUCUAACUUCUCAGUUACAUAAACUAAUAAAUUCCCUCUAUGUUAAA